CUCCUGCUCUCCGGAGACCUGUAUCUGUGCCUCCCUGAGCUCGGGCCCGCGCUCCUUCGGACCUCCGGCUAUGAGGCUCUCGGGUUACGAGGCUUUCCUUCUGGUCACAGCACCUGCCAAUUAACUUGUGGCGAGACCCGGGCCGCCAUCUUAACGAGAGACCUUUUCUGCUCUUCCGCCGUACGACCUUUGUCAUUGGCUAGGGCGGCCUCGCUUUGUCGACAAUGUACUCUGCUCUCCACAAAAGCAAGGAUUUCUUUCUGUCUUAUCUUCAGCACCUAAAACAGUGCCUGAUAUUUGGAACGAACAAACAAUCCCUAAUCAAGUGACUUUGUAACCAGGGCAGGAAGACAGACCUCGGAAGUGUAAAUAAAGCUAUAUGGACAAAGAAUGCUGAAGUCCCAAACCAACAUAGUCACCUAAAUAACCCUUUUUUUAAAAAACUAAAAGUUGCUUUAUUUACUUCAAAUUUUUUUUAUUAAGGUAAAACUGAUAUACACUCUUAUGGUUUCACAUGAAAAACAUUGUGUAAAUAACCCUAAGACAAAACUCCAAAGGAAUUAUAAAUCACCUGCCGUAUGCUGACACUUACCCAAAACAAGUUCUAUAAAACUCCAGACCCCAAACCCUUAAGUAUGCCUUCUCCUUUCUGAGGUUGCCCACAUUUGUCUUCCUUUGAGUGUGUCACCCUUUGUCCUACCUCAGAUAGUUAGGGAGGGGCUGCUGAGA